UUUUUCUUUAUGUCUUCUCACUAAUUUAUCUUCUUUUUACAGGUUUUUCAUUACAUGAUUUUCAUCUUUCACUCUUUCAAAAGUAGAUCUAUAAAUUUUGUAUAUGUAUUUUGUGUGUUUUAUAUGUUAGAUUCUAAGAAGCUACAUGUGGCUCAUGGUAAAUAUGACCUGAAUACCUAUCAUAGUGCAGGUUCAGAGAUUGAUGAGGACUUCGAUUGAUGAAGUGUAUUUUGACCUCACCUAUGUAGCAGAAAGUUCUCCCUGAGGCGCCUCCAGAGAGUUUGGAAUCUAUAGAUGAAGAAGCUCUUAAAUCCCAUAUUCUUUGAAUUAGCAAAGAGGAUGGAGAUGACUUCAAGGUGAGUGUUGAAGGAGACUGACCUUAGCUGUUCUGAUGGCAUAGCCCAAAACAAGGCAAGAAGCGAUUGUUUUGUUUGUUGUAUUUUCUUUUUAUUGCUUGUGUGGCGAGUGAAAACACAUAACUUAACAAGCAGAUGCUAGCCAAACUUGCUAGUGGAAUGAACAAACCUACCCAUCAAAAUGUUGUACCAUAUUCAGUUGUAUAAGAACUUCUCAGUUCUAUUCUAAUAAAGAAGAUGUAAGUAAGUUUGAACAAAUUUACUGACCUCAGUGAAUUUGAAGUCUCCAUGGUCAUAACUUGGUGUGAAGCCCUUAUAUAGCUUUUUAUUUCAUGUCAAUAGGUUUGGAGCCUGUCACAGUGGAAAAUGUUGAGAAAUAUAAUCUUUCCUUCAGAAAUCAAUGCAUUUUCUUUGGACCCUGGCGGCUCUGUGUUCUAUGCUGGUGGCGGAGAUAGCAAAAAAAAAUUAGGUGCCUUCAAUUCCUCAAGUGACUAUGCGACCCAAGCUCUUGGUUCAGUAACAGACCCAAUGGAAAGACAGAAGAGGAGUUCAACACUGGACCUCUUUCUGUUCGCUUCAUCAGCAAAAUGUUUCUCUGUGGUGACUCUGUCAUUAUCGUCCUCAUGAAUCCCAAGUGAGAGAUGUCAGCUGCUUAUAGUUAUUUCUCUUCACUUGAGUAUGGGUCUUAAAUCUAUUCAUGCCUUGUAUUUUACUCUUGUGAUUACAUUUAUGAUUCGUCUUUGACGUUUAAUGGGAACUCCU